ACCUUCUGUGGUGUAGGUGGUAGCGCCUUGUCUUAGCAAUAAUAAGUCCCAGGUUCAAGUCCCGGUUGGGGUA